CCUACGGGGGGCAGCAGUGAGGAAUAUUGGUCAAUGGACGAGAGUCUGAACCAGCCAAGUAGCGUGAAGGAUGACUGCCCUAUGGGUUGUAAACUUCUUUUAUAUGGGAAUAAAACGUUCCACGUGUGGGCUUUUGUAUGUACCAUAUGAAUAAGGAUCGGCUAACUCCGUGCCAGCAGCCGCGGUAAUACGGAGGAUCCGAGCGUUGUCCGGAUUUAUUGGGUUUAAAGGGAGCGUAGAUGGGUUGUUAAGUCAGUUGUGAAAGUUUGCGGCUCAACCGUAAAAUUGCAAUUGAUACUGGCAGUCUUGAGUACAGUAGAGGUAGGCGGAAUUCGUGGUGUAGCGGUGAAAUGCUUAGAUAUCACGAAGAACUCCGAUUGCGAAGGCAGCUUACUAAACUGACACUGACAUUGAGGCUCGAAAGUGUGGGUAUCAAACAGGAUUAGAUACCCCAGUAGUC
rnacentral:rRNA from 1 species